AUGGCUGCCAAACUUACCGUUGACGAGGCUCGAAACAGUGAAGAAAACACUGCUCCUGUGGACGAGGCUCGUCUUCUAACAAAUGGCGAAGAGAAUACAACUCAAGGUCAGCUUGUUACACCAUCAGGUGUCUCUUCAUCAUAUGCAGCUGAUAAAACAGCAGCCCCGGAUAACUUCGUAACGGAGGCAUCGGCACCUUUGAGUGCCAGUAACAGUGGGUCAGAGCCCUGUGACCGAGGUGUAGCAGAAGCCCAGGGUCUUGGGCACAAGACUGACGAAUGUAAAGCAGCCACCUUGAGAUGUGGGGAAAAGCGGGCGAGAGAAUCAGAAGACCCCUCUGAUGUUCCUGUGAAACGGCGUUUGAGAACAUCGGAAGUUCUACCAGACUACGACGCGAGAUGUGCCGAGCUGUGGAUCGAUGGUGAAACGGCUGCUUGUGAGGCUUAUGAGUUCUCAAAGUCCAGCAGCAACACCCAACGCCAACGUGCUAUUCGCCAACACGGCAAUAGUAGUUCUGUCAAGAGCGACAUUUUACGUCUCAUCCGAAUUGAAGUGGCAGCUUGUUAUUUUCCCAUCUCAAAGAUGCUUCGUUUGAGUAUGGAGCGGAGCAGAGCUGAUUUCGCUGAGGUGAUAAGUUCACUUAAUGCAAUGCAAAGGAAUACCAGAGAGUUGGCUAAUGAAGUCCGUAAAAUGCGAGCGGAUGUAAGACUGGUGUUAGACACAAUCUCUCUUAUGAAUGAAAGAAUGAGCGUCAUUCAAAGGUUGGCGUUGGACUUGCAUCGAGUGGUGACUUCUAGAAAAUGAGGGGUCUGUUUAUUUUAGCAUGCUGAUUUGCAUUCAAGCCUACUUUUGCUACCCAGCUUUUACUUUUUUGAUAUACUUGUAUUGACGAGUGUUUUUUUUAUUAUUAUUUCUUGUUUAUUGUAUCACUUUCCUGUGUUGUUUUAGUAGUUUUUAAAUAAACAGUUUCAAAAUGGCCCCUUUAUUCCUGAA
ensembl:lncRNA